GUAGGUGGCAAGCGUUGUCCGGAAUUAUUGGGCGUAAAGCGCGCGCAGGUGGUUCUUUAAGUCUGAUGUGAAAGCCCCCGGGCUCAACCGGGGAGGGUCAUUGGAAACUGGGGAACUUGAGUGCAGGAGAGGAAAGUGGAAUUCCACGUGUAGCGGUGAAAUGCGUAGAUAUGUGGAGGAACACCAGUGGCGAAGGCGACUUUCUGGCCUGUAACUGACACUGAGGCGCGAAAGCGUGGGGAGCAAACAGGAUUAGAUACCCUGGUAGUCCACGCCGUAAACGAUGAGUGCUAAGUGUUGGGGGGUUUCCGCCCCUCAGUGCUGCAGCUAACGCAUUACGCACUCCGCCUGGGGAGUACGGUCGCAAAGACUG
rnacentral:rRNA from 1 species